rnacentral:rRNA from 1 species
GUGGGGAAUCUUGCGCAAUGGGCGAAAGCCUGACGCAGCCAUGCCGCGUGAAUGAUGAAGGUCUUAGGAUUGUAAAAUUCUUUCACCGGGGACGAUAAUGACGGUACCCGGAGAAGAAGCCCCGGCUAACUUCGUGCCAGCAGCCGCGGUAAUACGAAGGGGGCUAGCGUUGCUCGGAAUUACUGGGCGUAAAGGGCGCGUAGGCGGACAGUUUAGGCAGAGGUGAAAGCCCAGGGCUCAACCUUGGAAUUGCCUUUGAUACUGGCUGUCUGGAGUACGGGAGAGGUGAGUGGAACUCCGAGUGUAGAGGUGAAAUUCGUAGAUAUUCGGAAGAACACCAGUGGCGAAGGCGACUCACUGGCCCGUUACUGACGCUGAGGCGCGAAAGCGUGGGGAGCAAACAGGAUUAGAAACCCCGGUAGUCC